AUUGAACGCUGGCGGCAGGCCUAACACAUGCAAGUCGAGCGAGUGGCGGACGGGUGAGUAAUGUCUGGGAAACUGCCCGAUGGAGGGGGAUAACUACUGGAAACGGUAGCUAAUACCGCAUACCAUCGGAUGAGCCCAGAUGGGAUUAGCUAGUAGGUAGGGUAACGGCUCACCUAGGCGACGAUCCCUAGCUGGUCUGAGAGGAUGACCCACCACACUGGGACUGAGACACGGUCCAGACUCCUACGGGAGGGAGCAGGUGGGAAUAUUGCACAAUGGGCGCAAGCCUGAUUGAGCCAUGCCGCGUGGAUGAAGAAGGCCCUUGGGGUGUAAAAGACUUUUAGCGCGGAGGAGGUACCCGCAGAAGAAGGACCGGCUAACUCCGUGGCAGCAGCCGCGGUAAUAC
rnacentral:rRNA from 1 species